GGAGAGGCGGAUCUGACCAUUUUCACGGCGCUUCUGAUCGAUUUCUCGUUAUGAAGGGGGAACCAUUCUGGGAAUCAACAAUCAUCACCACCACUGGACUUUAGUGGUGAUCUACCCACAAGAGAAAAAGUCUUUGUUCUUGAAUCCACUGGGGGAAUCAAAACAAGACAUCCAGAAAUGCUUGAAAAUCACAAGGUAUGGUUAAAAAUGUACGUUUAACUCAAGUAUGAAAAUCAAAUAAAGUUGUUCUUAUUAAUAUAUCUAUAUUUACAGGGCAUUUAUGAGGAAGAAGGGGUGCAAUGUCUCACGUUGGACAUGUGACAGUCAAGCAUCCAAAACAACAAGAUAAUACAUUAUGUGGUGUAUUUUCACUGAAGGUUUCAGACAUAUUGUCACACAGUGUAUGACUAGGAUUUUGAUAUAUAUUUUGAGACAUGUACAGUGAAUUACUUUCUUUGUUAAUUAAAUUUAAAGCCAUUAAAUGAAGCUGUUAGUUUCAGUUUGCAUAAAAAAUCCUAUCAAAAAAGGUUGUGGAUUUUCCUGUUUCCAGAGAGGCGGCCGACAGCAUGAGACUUAUCCUUAACAUUAAUAUUCUUAUUUUCAGUGUGUAUGACAAUUGUUAUCA